rnacentral:rRNA from 1 species
UACAGAGGGGGCGAGCGUUGUUCGGAAUUACUGGGCGUAAAGGGCGCGUAGGCGGCCUCUUAAGUCGAACGUGAAAUCCCCGGGCUCAACCCGGGAACUGCGUCCGAUACUGGGAGGCUUGAAUCCGGGAGAGGGAUGUGGAAUUCCAGGUGUAGCGGUGAAAUGCGUAGAUAUUCGCAAGAACACCAGUGGCGAAGGCGGCUCACUGGCCCGGUACUGACGCUGAGGUGCGAAAGCGUGGGGAGCAAACAGG